UUAGUGGCGAACGGGUGAGUAACACGUGAGUAACCUGCCCUUGACUUCGGGAUAACUUCGGGAAACCGGAGCUAAUACCGGAUAUGAGAUGUCACCGCAUGGUGGUGUUUGGAAAAGAUUUAUCGGUCAGGGAUGGACUCGCGGCCUAUCAGCUUGUUGGUGGGGUGAUGGCCUACCAAGGCGACGACGGGUAGCCGGCCUGAGAGGGCGACCGGCCACACUGGGACUGAGACACGGCCCAG
rnacentral:rRNA from 1 species